UAUAAUAUAUUAUAUAAUAUUUAUAAUAUUAUAUAAAAUAUAUCAUAAAAUAUAAUACAAUAUUACUUAAUAAUAUAAUAUAUAAUAUAUUAUAAUUUAAUAUUUAAUUCAAAAUGUUGUUAAUGUGACAGGAUAAAUAGAAUAAUAGGUUGGUGACGUGGAUGGAGAGUGUUUAUGUGGCUCGUCGGAGGAUCUUAUUGGGUUAGCCUUCCGCUCACCCAAUAAAUUCCUCUGACUUGCCAGAUAGCCACUCUUCAUCAACGUCACCAACCUAUUAUUCUCUAUACUCAUGCAAGUUUCUUGUUUCUCAAAACGAUUAUCAUUUUCACAAUCGUUUAAAAGAGAUAACUCAAUGCUCUUCUUUAAAAUUUUAUUUUCAAAAAAAGUAUCAGCACUGGUAUGUGUUGUACAAAAGAACCGACACUGUAAAUACUUUACAUGUAAUAGUCUUGCCUCUAUAAACUUCAAGAUUAAACUUUUCACGAAACAGGCUUUAAAGAAAUUAUAUAUGCCAUUUUAAGCUCGGCUGUUUUUGAAGAAACUUUUGUAUGCCCAAAAAUCCAAAUGUUGCUGUGUUAUAUGCUCUGGAAAUGUAUUGAAAAGUUUACUUAUUGUUAGAAUGAUACUAUUGAUUAAGUGUUAUAUCCUGAUGACCUCAUUAUUAUUGCUAUAACUGAGAACCUCUUGAUAGAAGUUAUCAUAUUGAAAACGUCCUAAUCUACGUUAAGUCAGUUGUAAUGUCUUAAUUUACGUUAUAUCUGUGAUAAUUUCUUAAUCAAUAGUAUCAUUAUAACGAUGUAUUAAUUAGUGUCAUGCUAACAUGUUUAGUCAUAUUUUAUUUAAACUUUCCCUUCUUAUACAUGUAUGACAAUCCAUUAAAACUCAUUUCAAAGUGGUUAUUACUGAAUGAUAAGACACUGGUCAUAAGGUUAUCAAACUGAUAAUAUCAAUUGAAGGUUUAUUGGCACCUUGUCAGUGAUAAUCUGUUUCGUGUUAUGACAGUAGUGUUGUUCACAUUUCAAUGUUGUACACAGUUGUCGCAGUGGUUAUUUCAGUUGCCGUCGAAGUUUAGUUGGGCUAUACUUACUUCAACCUUUUCAGAUUUCUGUGGUGACAACAAUUUUUUAUAGUUAUAUGAUAAGAUAAUUGAUAAGAUACUAUUGAUUAAGAUUCAUAUCCUGAUGACCUCUUAGUUAUUGCUAUUUCUGAGCACAUCUUGAUUGAUUUAAUCGGUAGUAGCCUCUAAAUUAAUGUUAUUUCAGUGAUAAUGUCUUUAUUCGAAGUAUUGUUAUGAUUAUAUUUUAAUCUGUGUAAUUUCAGGUAUAAACAACUCUUGGUCAUUUUUAUUCUCGCCCAAAUUGUUUGGGGGGAGCAUAUAGUCGCCGCUUCGUCUUUCCUUCCAUCCAUCCGUGCGUAUGUCCGUGCACAAUUUUUGUCUGGGCUUUUUCUCAGCAAUUAAUGACUGGAGUUUGUCCGGUAGGGACUUUCUGCAUUGCUUAACCCAUUUAUGCUGAGUGGAUUCUCCCAUCAUUCUGAAUUGGAUCAAUUUAUUUCCAAAACAAGGGAUGCCCAAGACAUUAUUUUUUUAUGCAGUAGUCAAUACAUAUCUGAGUUAUGGGCCCUUAAACUUUACCAUGGUCAUGGUGACCAUGGUUUCUCAAGAAAUUUAAUUGAAACUUUAAAUAUGUCACCCAUGAAGUCUAGCUUUGCAAGACACAAUUUUGCACUUGAUCUAACUAUUUCUUAUAUAUGUGCCCUAGUUAUAAUGUGCCCUUGCAUGUUAAAAAGUUUUGCAGGGUAAUAGUCACUAUUUUGACACAGCUCUGUUUCCAAUACCAUUUAGUUUUAAUUCCAAUUUAUUUGAAUAACUAUGGCAUUGUUGCAUACUUUCGUUUAUGUUAAAUCUGCAUAGUUUGUAACAUUUAUUCUUACUUUUGUUUUUUCAAAGAAUUUAGUCUUUUUUAGCUUGGAUGUUUUCGAAGAAAACUUGAGGUAUUGUCAUAGCCCUCUUGUCUUCCAUGUCGUCGUCUUAGUUGGGUCCGAAAACUUUUAACAUUUGCCAUAACUUUUGCAAUAUUGAAGAUAGAAACAUGAUAUAUGGCAUGCAUGUGUAUCUCAUGGAGUUGUAUAGGUCAUCCUUUAAGGUCACAGGUCAAAAAAACUUUUGAUGUCCCCCACUAUAGUAGUGGGGGACAUAUUGUUUUUGCCCUGUCUGUUGGUUGGUUGGUUUGCGCCAACUUUAACAUUUGCAAUAACUUUUGCAAUAUUGAAGAUAGGAACUUGAUAUUUGGCAUGCAUAUGUAUCUCAUGGAGCUGCACAUUUUGAGUGGUGAAAGGUCAAGGUCAAGGUCAUCCUUCAAGGUCAAAGGUCAAAUAUAUGGGUCAAAACCGCUCAUUUAAUGUACACUUUUGCAGUAUUUUUAAUAUUCAAGAUAGCAACUUGAUAUUUGGGAUGCAUGUGUAUCUCAUGGAGCUGCACAAUUUGAGUGGUGAAAGGUCAAGGUACAAGGUCAUCCUUCAAGGUCAGAUGUCAAAUAUAUGUGGCCAAAAUCGCUCAUUUUAUGAGUACUUUUGCAAUAUUGAAGAUAGCAACUUGAUAUUUGGCAUGCAUGUGUAUCUCAUAGAGCUGCACAUUUUUAGUGGUGAAAGGUCAAGGUCAAGGUCAUCCUUCAAGGUCUAAUAUAUGGGUCAAAAUUGCUCAUGUAAUGUCACUUCUGCAAUAUUGAAGCUAGCAAUUUUAUAUUUGAAAUGCAUGUGUAUCUCAUAGAGCUGCACAUUUUGAAUGGUGAAGGGUCAAGGUCAAGGUCAUUCUACAAGGUCAAACAUUAUAUAGGGGGACAUUGUGUUUCACAAACACAUCUUGUUUUCAUGUGUAUCUUAUCAAGCUUCACAUCUUGAUUGGUGAAAAGGUCAAGGUCAAUGAUGACCUUCAAGGUCAAAGGUCUAAAAAACUAAAUCCAAGCAACCACAGCCGAGCGUUGGCAUCCGCUUUACGGUGCUCUUGUAUAAAUUUACAUCUGACAUUGUUUUGAAUACAUUUAUCAUAAAUACAUUAGACACAUAUAUGAACCUCGCUUGAAAUGAAUGAAUUUUGGUUAAAAUAGAUUGUUAAUCAGGGUUCUCCCUGGCUCAAAAUUUUCCUAAGCCAAGUUAGACGUCACUUCUUUAUAUUGCUUUGGCAAAAUUCUACUUAUUUGGGAUUUUUUAUGGGUGUUAAUAAAUGAAAUGCUGUAGCCAAAUAAACUUUUCUUUAGCCAACUUGUAGUCAGUUUGUAGCCAUUAGAUUAUUAUUAGAAAUGAGAAGUGAAAUGGACAUCAAUGAUUCAAUGAUGACUACCAUGACUGUGAUAUUGUUAUUUGUAAAUAGUUUCAAUUAUUAUUUUCAUGCCCCCCUUCGAAGAAGAGGAGGUAUAUUGCUUUACUCAUGUCGGUCGGUCGGUAUGUCGGUCCGUCCACCAGGUGGUUUCCGGAUGAUAACUCAAGAACGCUUGGGGCUAGGAUCAUGAAACUUCAUAGGUACAUUGAUCAUGACUUGCAGAUGACCCCUAUUGAUUUUGAGGUCACUUGGUCAAAGGUCAAGGUCAAGGUGACCCGAAAUAGUAAAUGGUUUCCGGAUGAUAACUCAAGAAUUCAUACGCCUAGGAUCAUGAAACUUCAUGGGUAGAUUGAUCAUAACUCGCAGAUGACCCCUAUUGAUUUUGAGGUCACUAGGUCAAAGGUUAAGGUCACGGUGACCCGAAAUAGUAAAAUGGUUUCAGGAUGAUAACUCAAGAACGCAUACGCCUAGGAUCAUGAAACUUCAUGGGUAGAUUGAUAAUGACUUGCAGAUGACCCCUAUUGAUUUUGAGGUCACUAGGUCAAAGGUCAAGGUCACGGUGACCGGAAAUAGUAAAAUGGUUUUCGGAUGAUAACUAAAGAACCCAUACGCCUAGGAUCAUGAAAUUUGAUGGGUAGAUUGAUCAUGACUCGCAGAUGACCCCUAUUGAUUUUGAGGUCACUAGGUCAAAGGUCAAGGUCACGGUGACCCGAAAUAGUAAAAUGGUUUCAGG